GUAUGGGGACUGUACUGUAUGGUAUGGGGACUGUACUAUAUGGUAUGGGGACUGUACNGUAUGGGGACUGUACUAUAUGGUAUGGGGAUUGUACCGUAUGGGGACUGUACUAUAUGGUAUGGGGACUGUACUGUAUAGGGACUGCUGGUCUAUGUGAGUUACAUGAACACACCACUCUGGGACGAAACAGUGAAUAAUACCAUCACGUUAAUACAUUUACAUUGUGGUCAUUUAGCAGACACUCUUAUCCAGAGAGACUUAUAGUCAGUGCAUUUUACUAAGGUAGGUAAGUCAACCACACUAGAUAGUACUAGUCAUUGUGUGCAUAUAGUUGUCACACUGGUAAUACCUAUUGGAAUCAGCCUACUGCAUGGUCAGCUGAUGGUUAAGCUUCUGAGUAUUUAUUCAUUAAGACACAUAAAUAGUUGGAAACAGCAGACCAGGGCUGGCUCCAGGCCACUAGAGGGACUCUGACUCUUACAUGUUGUUGUCCCCCAGCUUCUCCUUGUGUGUCUCUUUCCUUCCGUUCUGGCAGAACACUGUGGUGACCGUGCUCUUUGCCAUCCUGUGGUUGAAGAGCGCGUCUUCGUGGGCCAGGGGUCUACAGAGUGUACCCUGGCACAGUGCCGAGGACAGGGCAUGGUCUCAACAUGUCUGUGAUCUGGGGUUCCCUGAACGUGGUUCUGUGGGUGGGCAACACCUGGGUCCCCUAUAAAGAGACCCCAUGGCACGACAGAGACAAACUGCCCAGCACCAGAGCCUAGGGAUUGUGCCAGACAGGUGCCAGACCUUAUAUGAGCCCCCCUUCGCCAUCCAAAGGUGGUAUGGUGCCCUUGCAGGGACACACUUUUUUUUAACUUCCUCUGAGUUGCUCUUGUACUCCCUUUGACAGUUGUCCUUGUCACAUUAACUUUUUGUUUUGUGUCUGUAAACAGUUAUUAUUCUAUUACUGUUUCCUUCAACCUUUAGCUUUUUAAUCACAAUGUUGCUUUCUGUCCGUCCACUGACAUGUAAUUUGCUUUGGUCAUUUAGAAGCUUUGGUCAUUUAUAAUCUUUGGUCAUUUAUAAUCUUUGGUMAUUUGGAAUCUUUAGUCAUUUAGAAUCUUUGGUCAUUUAUAAUCUUUGGUCAUUUAUAAUCUUUGGUCAUUUGGAAUCUUUAGUCAUUUGGAAUCUUUGGUCAUUUAGAAUCUUUGUUCAUUUAGAAUCUUUGGUCAUUUAGAGUAUUCUUUCAUGUACAAUACUGAAUGUAUCAGAUAUUAUAGUGUUUUUUUCUCUC